rnacentral:rRNA from 1 species
GUGGCGAAAGCGGCUCUNUGGUCUGUCACUGACGCUGAGGCUCGAAAGCGUGGGUAGCGAACAGGAUUAGAUACCCUGGUAGUNCACGCCGUAAACGCUGAGUGCUAGGUGUUAGGUCCUUUCCGGGACUUAGUGCCGACGCUAACGCAUUAAGCACUCCGCCUGGGGAGUACGACCGCAAGGUUGAAACUCAAAGGAAUUGACGGGGGCCCGCACAAGCGGUGGGGCAUGUGGUUUAAUUCGAAGCAACGCGAAGAACCUUACCAGGUCUUGACAUCCCGAUGCCCGCUCUAGAGAUAGAGUUUUACUUUUUGUACAUCGGAGACAGGUGGUGCAUGGUUGUCGUCAGCUCGUGUCGUGAGAUGUUGGGUUAAGUCCCGCAACGAGCGCAACCCUUAUUGUUAGUUGCCAUCAUUAAGUUGGGCACUCUAGCGAGACUGCCGGUAAUAAACCGGAGGAAGGUGGGGAUGACGUCAAAUCAUCAUGCCCCUUAUGACCUGGGCUACACACGUGCUACAAUGGUUGGUACAACGAGUCGCAAGCCGGUGACGGCAAGCUAAUCUCUGAAAGCCAAUCUCAGUUCGGAUUGUAGGCUGCAACU